rnacentral:rRNA from 1 species
UCUGCUAGUAUUGAUGAACAACAUGUUGAUACUCCUAAUAUUUAUGAUCCAAGAAAUUGGGAUAAUCUUGAUACUACAUCAAGAGACAUUUUAGUUGAGAAAGGGAUGGAGAGAGGAAAAAAAAUGGAAUAUCAUGUAGAUGAAGCAGGAAGACAUUUUUCAUAUGCUCAUUAUCAUAGGAAAUUAAGUAAUGGAGAGAAACAUCAUAGAAAGUGGCUAGUUUAUUCAAAAGAUCUCGACAAUUUUUUUGCUUCUCUUGUAAGAUCUUCUAUUGUAGUGUCUGCUAUGGAGAUUUUCGAGCAUGCCAGAGAAGUUGAUUGCUAUUCUAAUAUCCCCAUUGCUUAUCGCAUCUUAUUUACUAUGCCCGUCAUGGUUGCAUGGGCCGAACGAAGCUUUUCAAAGUUAAAAUUAUUGAAGAAUUAUUUGAGGUCAACAAUGACUCAGGAGAGGUUAAAUGGCUUUGCUGCAUUUUGCAGCGAGAAGAAAUUAUUGGAUGAGAUUGACAUCGACCCUAUCAUAAGUGACUUUGCAUCUAGGAACAUAGAAGAAAGUUUUAAGGUAAUAUGUAUAAAUUAUUUGAUUCAAAUACUAAUUUUGAAUUCAUUUAAUUGCUAUUGA